GUGGCCACUAGGUGGCGGUACGAGAACACAGGGAGUGGUAUUUCUGUAAACAGACGAAGACUUAGUUUUGAUUUCCUGCUCAGUUUUUAAACUGCUAUCCACUUGGGCCCUUUAAUACCUCCUAAGGGACAUCGUUGUGAUCGCUGUUUAGCAGUUGAGCCAACAUAAAAUUGAUGUUGAGCUUUACAACAGCUGUUAUAGACCACUUUAUGCUGAUGUUGAGACUUUUUAAAAAUGCUCAUGGCUUGAAAAUGUUAACUCUUCGAUUGGAAUCUUAAGUUUUCUGAGUGAUUUGAAGGGCUUGCUUGUAUUUCUGACUGAUUUACAAAUCUUACAAUGUUACAGUGGAGACUACUUAGAUUUUACCUUCAUGCUUUAUUUAGCUGGCUGAAUUUUCCGUU
rnacentral:lncRNA from 1 species